rnacentral:lncRNA from 1 species
GAUGUUCAAGGUAUUUGGCUCACAUUUAUCAAACGGCAUAUUGAAAAUGAUUGUGGAAUCCUUUUUAUCAAAGUUGCUGAACCAUAAUGGAAAAGUGUUUUAUGAAGUUACUGGUAUGAUAGAAGAGGUAAAAUACUUCUGUUUCAAUGUUUCUCCCUCAUUAUCAGAAGUAAUAUUGUUUCUCCCAGAAUAACACUUAGAACAUAACACUAGUUAUUGUACUUGUAACGGUCUGUUUAUUUUACAUUAACCUAUUAGAACUGAAUAAAUUUGACACCAAAUUUUCUCUAAUCUUUGCAUUGUAGGCAUAUCCCAAUCAUAACAAGUUCAUCAACAAAAAAAUUGAAAUGUUUGACGAAAUGUCUCUUGUGUGUGGAAAUGAUCGGGUUAGGGGAGAUUGUGCUAAAUCGUUUGAAGAUAUAGAUUUUGAUAGUUUUUCUGAGAAAGAUAAUGAUAAUGACCUUGAAGGACCAUCCAUCGAAAAGGAUGUGCAAGUAACCGAAGCUUCUCAAAUCAAG